ensembl:snRNA U6 U6 spliceosomal RNA
GUGCUCGCUUCGGCAGCACAUAUACUAAACUUGGAAUGAUACAGAGAUUAGCAUGGCCCCUGCACAAGGAUGACAUGCCAAUUCGUGAAGCAUUCCAUAUUUUU